rnacentral:rRNA from 1 species
CACGUAGGGUGCGAGCGUUGUCCGGAAUUAUUGGGCGUAAAGAGCUCGUAGGCGGUGUGUCGCGUCGGCCGUGAAAACCUGCAGCUUAACUGUGGGCUUGCGGUCGAUACGGGCAUCACUGGAGUUCGGCAGGGGAGACUGGAAUUCCUGGUGUAGCGGUGAAAUGCGCAGAUAUCAGGAGGAACACCAAUGGGCGAAGGCAGCUCGCUUGGGGAC